rnacentral:rRNA from 1 species
UACGUAGGGUGCAAGCGUUGUCCGGAAUUAUUGGGCGUAAAGAGCUCGUAGGCGGUCUGUUGCGUCGGCUGUGAAAACCCGGGGCUCAACUCCGGGCCUGCAGCCGAUACGGGCGGACUAGAGUUCGGCAGGGGAGACUGGAAUUCCUGGUGUAGCGGUGAAAUGCGCAGAUAUCAGGAGGAACACCGGUGGCGAAGGCGGGUCUCUGGGCCGAUACUGACGCUGAGGAGCGAAAGCGUGGGGAGCAAACAGG